rnacentral:sRNA from 1 species
UUCGAAACAUUAAUAACAACGCCGUGGUC